UACGUAGGGUGCGCGCGUUAAUCGGAAUUACUGGGCGUAAAGCGUGCGCAGGCGGUCUGUUAAGACCGAUGUGAAAUCCCCGGGCUUAACCUGGGAACUGCAUUGGUGACUGGCAGGCUUUGAGUGUGGCAGAGGGAGGUAGAAUUCCACGUGUAGCAGUGAAAUGCGUAGAGAUGUGGAGGAAUACCGAUGGCGAAGGCAGCCUCCUGGGCCAACACUGACGCUCAUGCACGAAAGCGUGGGGAGCAAACAGG
rnacentral:rRNA from 1 species